rnacentral:rRNA from 1 species
GACGAACGCUGGCGGCGCGCUUAACACAUGCAAGUCGAGCGAAGCGGCGGACGGGUGAGUAACACGUGAGUAACCUGCCUUAGACAUUGGGAUAGCCUCGGGAAACCGGGAUUAAUACCAAAUGGUCUAAGAUGGACUCGCGUCCCAUUAGCUAGUUGGUGGGUAACGGCCCACCAAGGGGACGACGGGUAGCCGGCAGCAGAGAGUGAGCGGCGACAUUGGAACGGAGAAACGGUCGGAAAUAUACGGGAGGGGGCAGAGGGGAAUGUUGCAAAAUGGAGGGAACUCUGAUGCAGCGACGCUGCGUGAACGAAGAAAGCGGUCGAGUCGGAAAGGUCGUUAAUAUGGGAAGCGGUACCAUAAGAAAAAGCCCCGGCUAACUACGUGCCAGCAGCCGCGGUAAUUC